rnacentral:lncRNA from 1 species
AUGAGCUUAAUGAAGAGAGAAAGAGGAGGCUUCAGAAAUUCCAGCCAAAUGUGGAAGGAAAAAAUGACUUUAAAAAAAAAAAAAAAAGAAGAUGUGGGAAGAGAGCUUUUCAUGACAAAAUCUUUUUUUGAAGAACCUGACUCGUCUGUGAGUUGUCCUCACGCUUUUGUCUGCUUUUGCACUGGUAAAAUUCCACUGACGUCAGCCGUAGCAAACCUUCGUGCUCGGUGUACGUGUGAGAAAGAAGAGAAUCAGGGUCAUGCUAAACAAACAAAUGUCAAUCAUCAAGAAAUAAGUGUUUAUUUAGACUGCUUAAAGGAAAGAUUUCAAACUGCUCCCCGCGGCAGCGCAGCGCUGCUUGUUGCCUCUUCUCGAGUGGCCAAGGAGGCUGCAGUGCGGUGAGGAGAAGUCGGCCAAGUCAGGGCUGGAUCCCAGCUUACCCAGCUGCCCCGCGCUUUUACAGCAGCAACCACUGCCAAGACGCUGGCCAGGAGCCUGUGAGCUUUGGGGCUGGCCAGCCCUGUAACCCAGGACGGGGUUGUCCCCUAGAGACAUACCCACAGGAUCUUCGAACACCAGGCCCAGAUACCGCCUGCAGGGCAGCAGGGGCACCCUGGGCACAGGAGAAGGAGGGCUCCUCUGCUGCCUUUGGGCGGUUUUGGCAUCACUUUACAACGCCAUCAGAUUCGUUUACACAAGGUACCACUGCACGUGUGACCUGCACAGCUGACUUACUCCCAUUAGUGCCUCUCAGGCAGGACAGGAGCUACCCUGGCGUUAGCAGGACUCUGGCACGAGGGACAGUCAUCUUUAGUCAGAGGUAGAGUCAGGACCUGCAGCAUUUCGCAGCCUUACAGUAACGCCGUGCCUUUCCGCUUCGGUCACACAGUUUUUGAAGCAGUGAUUUUUUUUUUUUUAAAUUUUUCUUCUGGAACUAAAACAGAUGCUUUUAAUGAGGAAGCAGAGCCCUUGGGUGCUGCAUCUUUUCAACCAGAUGACGGGGUGGCUAGAGCACACCUCUCUUAUGAGGGUAACUUCUGCCUUAUCUCUAAAGUAACACGUUCGCCUGAUCAACCAAAUCUGAAGAUACAUUUUAAAAUCACCGUAUUUUGGUUUCAUGAAAUUCACUACAUCUUUAGACAGUUACUAUUUCCCCCUAAGCUGCAAUAUGAUUUUAUUUAAUAAACUUCUCUUUCACCUUUGAUGGCGUAGUCCC